AAAGGGGAGGGGCUUCUGGGCAAGAGAAUUACAUUAUUGACUAAAGGGAUAAUUAUUCUUCCCUCUCCUUAGUAUGUCCUUAUGUGGAUCACUUUCUCUGGCGAAUGGACUACUGACAAGGUGAUUUACUGGCUUAAAUUGAUUAACUCUUAAGGGAGAAGACCAAAGUUUCAGUGGAAACAGCAAAACCACAGCCCUAAGAAACCACAAACUUCCUUUACCUUGAAUUUCCUGCUUCUGUUUGCUCAAGAGCUGGUAGAAGGAGGAAUAAGAGGACAAAACUCCAUCUCCCCCCAAAAGUAGAAGAGAAAAAGAAGAUGAAAAGGUUUUCUACUGAUUAGAUGGGCACCACUAAAAGAGAGGAGGGCAAUUUUCUUUUCCCAAUCUGUCAAUUCAAAUGCUGAUUUCAUCUAGAACUGUUAGUACAGGCCCUCAGAGUUUUUGCCCAAUCAUCUGACCAUUUGGUUAACAAUCCAAGAUCCCAAACUGGAUUUAGGUGCCACAUCUCCUUUGUCUCCUGCCAGCGGGAAGGGAAGGCACUUUAUCUUUCAUGACUUGUCCUUUAGAAGACAACUGGUGUUUUCUCUUCUUGAAAUGUCUUACCAUUGUGUCUUCAUCAGCUUAAUCUCUGGACUCCAAAAAUGCAUGACCUGAGUGUAAGAAAGAGAACCAGGUAGGAAUGCAUUGAUCUUUAUGAUCCAGUUUAAGGCAAGUCAUUGCUAAUUCUAUGAGAAUCAUUUGGUUUCAAAACAUGUAAGGAUCCACACAAUUUAAAGGAGAGAAUCAAAUAGCCUGUUUGAUAGGAAAUAAUGUUGUCAUUGGAUUUUAAGAAGUGU